rnacentral:other from 1 species
CCCUCUGUCGGGUUCGAGAUGAGGUAAGAAAACCAAACUCUACAAAAACACAGCCCCGGGAUCUGUCCCUGGCCGUGGUGUGCAAGCCCGGACACGCUUCACCGGGAAGCCUGAAGCGGUCAUCACGGAGCCCACCUUGGCUCAACUACACGGGGUUUGGUUUGAACACCUCGACGGCUCACAUGGUAAGGCC